rnacentral:lncRNA from 1 species
CGACAUCUUUCUGAACUCCCUCGACCAUCCGAACUUCUCCGACAAUAAACUUCUCCAUUCAUCUAUCGGGCCGCUCCAAAGGCUCUCUGGGCUUCACUAUCAGCCGACCUUCUACAGUGAUCAACUAUUCUCCGAAUCCCUUCCAGACUUCUUCUGACUGCGGACGACCCUACUCCGAACUUCUUUCGGACUUCGUCAAUAUCCGAGCUUCUCCGACGAUGAGAUUUCUACAGUAACCA